rnacentral:rRNA from 1 species
GUGCCAGCCGCCGCGGUAAUACCGGCAGCUCGAGUGAUGGCCGAUUUUAUUGGGCCUAAAGCGUCCGUAGCCGGCCGAGCAAGUCCAUCGGGAAAUCCGCCAGCCCAACUGGCGGGCGUCCGGUGGAAACUGCACGGCUCGGGACCGGAAGACCCGAAGGGUACGUCUUGGGUAGGAGUGAAAUCCCGUAAUCCUGGACGGACCACCGAUGGCGAAAGCACUUCGGGAAGACGGAUCCGACGGUGAGGGACGAAAGCCAGGGUCUCGAACCGGAUUAGAUACCCUAGUAGUCC